GGUUGUGGCUCAGUGGUAGAGUGCUUGCCCAGCAUGUAUAAGGCCCUGGGUUUGAUCCUCAGCACCA
rnacentral:tRNA from 1 species